rnacentral:lncRNA from 1 species
ACACCCGUAUGUGGCUCACUGGGACCAGGCUGCCUUGACCACCAGCGGGGUAUCAGCCUGGACUCUGCCCUCUGCAGUGACGUCAGAGCGCUACCUGUGGCAGCAGUGGGGGGACCAUCCAUGGUGCUCAUGGUCAACACAUCUUGCUGCUUUCAGACAAGUGCCCCUGGACUUGAGGAUCUCAACCCAGGAAGAACAGCUUAGCUCCACCUCCAGCUGGCUGGGUGAUCUGGGGUCAAGGCUUGCUGUCUGUGGGAGACUCCCUCCCACCACCUAUAAAGAGGAAGCAGCGAGGGAGAGACAAGCAGACUCCACACUGAGCACAGAGCCCAACAGAGGGCUUGAGAUUGUGACCUGAACCGAAAUCAGGAGUCAGAGGCUUAAAUGACUGAGC